GGAAAAACCGUGUGGCAAUCCAGAGGCGUGAUGCGGACCGAACUAAAGUAGGGAAGUGUGUGAGCCAUGAAUCAAGAAAAGCCGCUAUUGUUUUUAAGAUACCCGUACCGUAAACCGACACAGGUGGAUGAGGAGAGAAUCCUAAGGCCGGCGGAAGAAGCAUUGUUAAGGAACUCGGCAAAAUGACCCCGUAACUUCGGGAGAAGGGGUGCCAACGAGAGUUGGCCGCAGAGAAUAGGCUCAAGCAACUGUUUAGCAAAAACACAGGUCUAUGCAAAACCGUAAGGUGAGGUAUAUGGGCUGACGCCUGCCCGGUGCUGGAAGGUUAAGAGGAGAGGUUAGCGUAAGCGAAGCUUUGAAUUUAAGCCCCAGUAAACGGCGGCCGUAACAAUAACGGUCCUAAGGUAGCGAAAUUCCUUGCCGGGUAAGUUCCGACCCGCACGAAAGGCGUAAUGAUUUGAGCGCUGUCUCGACAAUGCAUCCGGUGAAAUUGAAGUACCAGUGAAGAUGCUGGUUACCCGCGCCAGGACGGAAAGACCCCAUGGAGCUUUACUCCAGUUUGGUACUGGGGUCCGGCAGUGCAUGUACAGGAUAGGUGGGAGGCUUUGAACCUGGAACGCCAGUUUCAGGGGAGCCGAUGUUGGGAUACCACCCUUGUGCUGCUGGGCUUCUAACCAGCGGCCUUUAUCAGGCCGGGGGACAAUGCCAGACGGGGAGUUUGACUGGGGCGGUCGCCUCCGAAAGGGUAUCGGAGGCGCUCAAAGGUUCCCUCAGAAUGGUCGGAAACCAUUCGAAGAGUGCAAAGGCAGAAGGGAGCUUGACUGCGACACCGACGGGUGGAGCAGGUACGAAAGUAGGACUUAGUGAUCCGGUGGUAUUAAGUGGGAAUGCCAUCGCUCAACGGAUAAAAGCUACCCUGGGAUAACAGGCUUAUCACUCCCAAGAGUUCACAUCGACGGAGUGGUUUGGCACCUCGAUGUCGGCACAUCGCAUCCUGGGGCUGUAGUAGGUCCCAAGGGUUGGGCUGUUCGCCCAUUAAAGUGGUACGCGAGCUGGGUUCAGAACGUCGUGAGACAGUUCGGUCCCUAUCCGGCGUGGGCGUAGGAUAUUUGAGAGGAGCUGUCCUUAGUACGAGAGGACCGGGAUGGACUGACCUCUGGUGUACCGGUUGAACCGCCAGGUUCACGGCCGGGUAGCCAAGUCGGGAAGGGAUGAACGCUGAAGGCAUCUAAGCGUGAAGCCCCCCCCAAGAUGAGAUAUCCCAUUCGAAAGAAGUAAGACCCCUUGAAGACGACGAGGUAGAUAGGGCAGGGGUGGAAGUGCCGUAAGGCAUGGAGCUGACUGUUACUAAUCGGUCGAGGGCUUGACU
rnacentral:rRNA from 1 species